UUUUAUGUAUUGUUUAUUAAGUCUUUCCACUUUUCUGUGGAAAGACUUAUUGUAUUUCUUCUGAUUAUUAAGUCUUUCCACUUUUCUGUGGAAAGACUUAUUGUAUUUCUUCUGAUUAUUAGGUCUUUCCACUUUUCUGUGGAAAGACCUAUUGUAUUUGUUCUGAUUAUUAUUAUUAUUAUUAUUAUUAUUUUUUUUUUUUUUUUUUUUCUUCCGCCAAAUUUUGUUCUUGCGAUAAAUGUUUGUUUCGCAAUAUGUCGCUUAGAUAUUUCUCAUAUGGUAUCGUAUAGUUUAUGCGCUUUUAAAUUUCACCCUGCUAAGGCGAACCAUUUUCUUUGUAAGAGUUAUCUCCCCUUUCACUGUUUAUCAUCAGAGUGCAUCUCCUCCGUAACCGUAGAAAAAUGUGACAAAUUUAUUUUAUAAAAUUGCUCGUUAUAUCCUUCGCAUGAUUUGUCCUAUUUUAACCGAAGCGAUAUGAACACUCCUUAUGAGAGUUAUUCCCCCUUUUGCAUUUGAUAUUAGUAAUAUGCAUUUCUAACUGGUAAACCAUAGGUAAUAGAGACCUAGGGUCUUUUGAUUUAAGGUCCUUGGUCCAAAAAAAUGAAAAUUAGGUCAAGGUCAAAGGUCAAGGUCAUAUUCUAAAUUUUGAUUUUGGCUUAUUUUCACUCAUUUUCAUUAACCUUAUCAGAUAUCGACAAAUUAUUUUUACUAAAUUGUUAGUUGCGACAUGUCGUAACAUAAUAAUUUUGGUUGAAAGGGUGCGUAGACAAUAAAUGGGAGUUUUAGCCCCUACCACAUCUAAAAUUAUGCGUAAAGUGAUAUUACUUAUUAACCAUACAUAUUAGAGACCUAGGGUCUUUUGAUUUGAGACCCUCAGUUUGUGACCUUGAAAUUGAGGUCAAGGUCAUAGGUAAAUUUGGCGUUUUAGAUUAUGACCUUUGGUUAAAAUUCAUAUCUAUACAUCAUAAAGCCAUAGGAACUGACAUUUUAGACUGAUUUUUAAUAUUUUAAUAUCAAAAUAGAUAUUUACUGGUGGAAAGACCUUCAAUUGUUCUCUGAACAAUUGGUUUUUAAUUAUUAUUAUUAUUAUUAUUUUUUUUUUUUUUUCCCGCCAACUUUUGUUCUUGCGAUAAAUGUUUGUUUCGCAAUAUGUCGCUUAGAUAUUUCUCAUAUUGUAUCGUAUAGUUUAUGCGCUUUUAAAUUUCACCCUGCUAAGCCGAACCAUUUUCUUUGUAAGAGUUAUCUCCCUAUUCACUGUUUAUCAUCAGAGUGUGCAUCUCCUUCGUAACAAAAAAAGAUAGCGACAAAAUUCUUUUACAAAUUGUUCGUUACAUCCUCAGUAAUUUUUGGCGUAUUUGGAU
rnacentral:lncRNA from 1 species